rnacentral:rRNA from 1 species
UAUGUAGGGUCCGAGCGUUGUCCGGAAUUAUUGGGCGUAAAGAGCUCGUAGGCGGUUUGUCGCGUCUGCUGUGAAAUCCCGAGGCUCAACCUCGGGCCUGCAGUGGGUACGGGCAGACUGGAGUGCGGUAGGGGAGAAUGGAAUUCCUGGUGUAGCGGUGGAAUGCGCAGAUAUCAGGAGGAACACCGAUGGCGAAGGCAGUUCUCUGGGCCGUAACUGACGCUGAGGAGCGAAAGCGCGGGGAGCGAACAGG